GACGAACGCUGGCGGCGUGCUUAACACAUGCAAGUCGAACGGUGAAAGGGAGCUUGCUCCCUGGAUCAGUGGCGAACGGGUGAGUAACACGUGGGCAACCUGCCCCAGACUUCGGGAUAACGCUUCGAAAGAGGUGCUAAUACCGGAUACGAACUCCUUGGGCAUCCUUGGAGUUGGAAAGUUUUUCGGUCUGGGAUGGGCCCGCGGCCUAUCAGCUUGUUGGUGAGGUAACGGCUCACCAAGGCGACGACGGGUAGCCGGCCUGAGAGGGCGACCGGCCACACUGGGACUGAGACACGGGCCAGACUCCUACGGGAGGGAGCAGUGGGGAAUAUUGCGCAAUGGGCGAAAGCCUGACGCAGCAACGCCGCGUGAGGGAUGACGGCCUUCGGGUUGUAAACCUCUUUCAGCAGGGAAGAAGCGAAAGUGACGGUACCUGCAGAAGAAGCACCGGCUAACUACGUGCCAGCCGCCGCCGUAA
rnacentral:rRNA from 1 species